rnacentral:rRNA from 1 species
GACUAACGCUGGCGGCGUGCUUAACACAUGCAAGUCGAACGGAAAGGCCCUGCUUUUGUGGGGUGCUCGAGUGGCGAACGGGUGAGUAACAAGUGAGUAACCUGCCCUUGACUUUGGGAUAACUUCAGGAAACUGGGGCUAAUACCGGAUAGGAGCUCCUGCUGCAUGGUGGGGGUUGGAAAGUUUCGGCGGUUGGGGAUGGACUCGCGGCUUAUCAGCUUGUUGGUGGGGUAGUGGCUUACCAAGGCUUUGACGGGUAGCCGGACUGAGAGGGUGACCGGCCACAUUGGGACUGAGAUACGGCCCAGACUCCUACGGGAGGCAGCAGUGGGGAAUAUUGCACAAUGGGCGGAAGCCUGAUGCAGCAACGCCGCGUGCGGGAUGACGGCCUUCGGGUUGUAAACCGCUUUCGCCUGUGACGAAGCGUGAGUGACGGUAAUGGGUAAAGAAGCACCGGCUAACUACGUG